rnacentral:rRNA from 1 species
AUUGAACGCUGGCGGCAGGCCUAACACAUGCAAGUCGAACGGCAGCACAGAAGAGCUUGCUCUUUGGGUGGCGAGUGGCGGACGGGUGAGUAAUGUCUGGGAAACUGCCCGAUGGAGGGGGAUAACUACUGGAAACGGUAGCUAAUACCGCAUAACGUCGCAAUACCAAAGUGGGGGACCUUCGGGCCUCACACCAUCGGAUGUGCCCAGAUGGGAUUAGCUGGUAGGUGGGGUAAUGGCUCACCUAGGCGACGAUCCCUAGCUGGUCUGAGAGGAUGACCAGCCACACUGGAACUGAGACACGGUCCAGACUCCUACGGGAGGCAGCAGUGGGGAAUAUUGCACAAUGGGCGCAAGCCUGAUGCAGCCAUGCCGCGUGUAUGAAGAAGGCCUUCGGGUUGUAAAGUACUUUCAGCGGGGAGGAAGGCGGUGAGGUUAAUAACCUCGCCGAUUGACGUUACCCGCAGAAGAAGCACCGGCUAACUCCGUGCCAGCCGCCGCCGUAA